AGCAGUCGCCGCGGUAAUACGAAGGGGGCUAGCGUUGUUCGGAUUUACUGGGCGUAAAGCGCACGUAGGCGGACUUUUAAGUCAGGGGUGAAAUCCCGGGGCUCAACCCCGGAACUGCCUUUGAUACUGGAAGUCUUGAGUAUGGUAGAGGUGAGUGGAAUUCCGAGUGUAGAGGUGAAAUUCGUAGAUAUUCGGAGGAACACCAGUGGCGAAAGCGGCUCACUGGACCAUUACUGACGCUGAGGUGCGAAAGCGUGGGGAGCAAACAGGAUUAGAUACCCCGGUAGUCCCUGUCUCUUAUAC
rnacentral:rRNA from 1 species